ACGGCGACGGCGACACCGAAAGCAAGAUCGUAGAACGAGGAAAGAGAACGAAACACAACGAAUGCCCAGCUGUUUAUUCUGAACGGAGCGGAGCCGAUUCCGUCGUAGUAAUAACUUGUUUGGUGGGCAGCAGCACGCACCACAGUCAGUCCCCGUGUCCAGUCCCAGUGUUUUUCAGAGUCUAUGGAAACCCGCAGUCGGGUUACAAACAGCCCCAGAACCCCCAGAAAGCGAAAUCUAAUCAGUUCUAGAGGUCCCGGUCUCUCUCGGCCAGAUAGUGCGUGCAAUCCGCAGUAAAUACCAUACCCAACGGACAAGUGGUUGAUCCAGUGCCAAUUCGGGGGCAAAACGCUCGAAAGAUAUUAUCAAGCCAACGGCUGGUCCAAAUAUGUAGUGUUUGCCGUUGUGUUUCCUUCCCUGUUGUUCGGUCGUACCGUUGCAGUUGUUGGGACAACUAAGACAAACCAGAAACGGAAUCGAUUCCAAGUGCAGUGCAGUGUAAGACGACGAGCAAGAAGAAGCAGAAGAGGCAAUGCCAGUGGCAGUGGCAGUGGCAGAGUGGAGAAGGGAGAAGGAUUGAAGAGUGUAUUCCAUAUGGAAAACCAGCUCCAGCUGCAGUUACAGCUCCACUGUUUUUUUGUAAAUUGGGGCACGACUGGCCCCAACGAUCGAGCUGACAAAAGAGAAUAGCGACAAAACAAAGAAGCAGGCGAACAAAGAACACAAGCCAAGAAAAACAGAGAACACAGUGUCGGUCAGAGAGGAGAGAGGAGAGCGACAAGAGUUCUUUCUUAUAGAGAUACUCGUGCAAGUGUGUGGCUGCAAGAUACAGAUCCAGAUACAGUCACAGAGACAGAUCCCGCGGAGCAGUCCCAGCAUCCACAUCGUUAAGAGAGGCAGAGAGCGACAGGAAAACCCCCCAAAAAAGCUCAAUACGAAUGGUGUGCACACAGCGUAAAUACGAGAAAAUUGUUAAUUAAGACGCCAAAUGUUUGGCAGUCGUCGAAAGUGCAGAGGAGAGUGGCGGGAGGCAAAGUAAACCACAGAGAUAGAACGCGCACUGUGUGUGAGAGAGAGAGAGAGAGAGAGAGAGAGAGAGAGAGAAGUGCGGGUGCAAUUACCUUGCGUGUGUGUGAGUGUGUUGUGUUCCGUUUCCAUUUCGUUCACCUGAACAGCUGUCUUCGCUCACGAUCUCUCUCCGCUCACCCGCAUCUCCAAGCCGUUAUCAGUCAACUGAACUGCCUGCACCAGCUCAGUUUUCUGCAACUAAUUGGACAAGUGAGUAAUUGGACAGGAGAGAAGCAGACAAAAAGGGAGAGGAACGGUGAAGACAACCAACCUUCGCCGCGACGCGUCCCACACAUAUAAAUAGGAGAAACAGACCAACCAGACGACAGAUUGCCGUCCUCUAAGCCACGGGCAGAAGUCGCAGCUGAGCCCAGCAUGCGGAGGCUCUGAGAGCUGAAACCCAGAUUAGUUGGUGAAAAAUUCUGUAAACGAUCGCAUGGUUAAUAAUCUUAGCUCCACGGAAAUGAGUUUGAUUUCCAUCAAUGGAGGAAAACUUAACUUAACACUCGCGAACUUGUUGUACAAUCGUUGUAUACUUAUGUGUUCGAUGAACUCUUGGAUUCUUGGAUUAAGCUAUUAACAAUAUGUAAACAAAGUAUGAUAAGUGGGUUUAUUGUUAAAUGAAAAUUAAUUAUUCCUAAACAGACGGUGGCAUAAGUAUUUUGACAUUUUACAAAAUGUAAAAAAAAACAAAAACGAAUGGAACGAACUAACUUUUUAUGAUGAAUCAGCAAAAUAUAUAUCCUCCCUUUGCCUCUAUCACCUUUUGCAGACGUCUCGGAACUGACUCCACUAAGCUGUGGAUAUAAGCCAGCAGAAU